rnacentral:rRNA from 1 species
UACGGGGGGGGUAAGCGUUGUUCGGAAUUACUGGGCGUAAAGGGCUCGUAGGCGGCCAACUAAGUCAGACGUGAAAUCCCUCAGCUUAACUGGGGAACUGCGUCUGAUACUGGAUGGCUUGGAUUUGGGAGAGGGAUGCGGAAUUCCGGGUGUAGCGGUGAAAUGCGUAGAUAUCCGGAGGAACACCGGUGGCGAAGGCGGCUUCCUGGACCGACACUGACGCUGAGGCGCGAAAGCUAGGGGAGCAAACGGG